GGUAAUUCCAGCUCCAAUAGCGUAUAUUAAAUUUGUUGCGGUUAAAAAGCUCGUAGUUGGAUCUCGGCGGGCAGGGGGCGGUCCGUUAUUCGACGCGACUGCCCCAUUUGCCCGUGUAUCUUCGGCGGAACUCCCGGGGUGCUCUUCGCCGAGUGUCCCGUUGGGGGCCGCCAGCUUUACCUUGAAAAAAUUAGAGUGCUUAAAGCAGGCUCGACACGCCUGAAUAUUUGUGCAUGGAAUAAUGGAAUAGGACGUCGUUCCUAUUUUGUUGGUUUUCGGGAAUCGACGUAAUGAUUAAUAGGGACAGCCGGGGGCAUUAGUAUUCAGACGACAGAGGUGAAAUUCUUGGACCGUCUGGCGACUCACUGCUGCGAAAGCGUUUACCAAGUAUGUUUUCAUUAAUCAAGAACGAAAGUUAGAGGUUCGAAGGCGAUCAGGUACCGCCCUAGUUCUAACCAUAAACGAUGCCAGCUAGCGAUCCGCAGACGUUUUUAUUGUAGGCUCUGCGGGAAGCUUCCGGGAAACCAAAGCUCUUGGGUUCCGGGGGAAGUAUGGUUGCAAAGCUGAAACUUAAAGAAAUUGACGGAAGGGCACCACCAGGCGUGGAACUUGCGGCUUAAUUUGACUCAACACUGGAAAUCUCACCAGGCCCGGACACCGGAAGGAUUGACAGAUUGAGAGCUCUUUCUCGAUUCGGUGGGUGGUGGUGCAUG
rnacentral:rRNA from 1 species